GAAAUUUACCACUUAAAAUUACCUGUCAUAAUUCUUAUUUAUUUUUGAAAGUAGACAAGAUGAGAUGUUUCCAAUUAAUUUAAUAUUGUUAAAAUCAUUUUUAGAAUUAUAAAAUUUUAAUUAAAGUUAAAUGAAUUAAAAAAAAUUAAUAUUUUUAUUAACUUAAGUGAAGAAGCUGGGUAAUUUUGUAUUUGUUGGUUUCUUUGUCUGUUUUGGAUAGCUUUUAGCGUCCUGUUGCCUGUUGUUUUGUUUUGCCUUAUUUUGUAUUCUGUUGAUCUACCUCACUCUCCUGGCUUUUUCAUUUAGAUGUCUUGUUAGGGACUAUCGGAUCUAGUUGAAUGAAUCGUACUAAAAUUUUUUAUUUUAGUUAUAAUAAAUUUAAUGAAAUUAAUUAUUAAGAAUUUUAAAUAAAUUUUUGCUUAAAUUAAAAAUACAAAUUUUAUAAACAGACCUAAAUAUAUAUAAUCAUGUUAGGUGUCAACUUUUGACGCGUGGUGGCGCUUGCUUUAAAACAA
rnacentral:misc_RNA from 1 species